UACGUAGGGCGCAAGCGUUGUCCGGAAUUAUUGGGCGUAAAGAGCUCGUAGGCGGCCUGUUGCGUCCGCUGUGAAAACCCGGGGCUUAACCCCGGGCUUGCAGUGGAUACGGGCAGGCUGGAGGCAGGCAGGGGAGAACGGAAUUCCCGGUGUAGCGGUGAAAUGCGCAGAUAUCAGGAGGAACACCGAUGGCGAAGGCAGGUCUCUGGGCCACUACUGACGCUGAGAAGCGAAAGCAUGGGGAGCGAACAGG
rnacentral:rRNA from 1 species